rnacentral:rRNA from 1 species
UACGUAGGGAGCAAGCGUUGUCCGGAAUCAUUGGGCGUAAAGAGCGUGUAGGCGGCCCGAUUAGUCCGCUGUGAAAGUCCAGGGCUCAACCCUGGAAUGCCGGUGGAUACUGUCGGGCUAGAGUCCGGAAGGGGCGAGUGGAAUUCCUGGUGUAGCGGUGAAAUGCGCAGAUAUCAGGAGGAACACCUAUGGCGAAGGCAGCUCGCUGGGACGGUACUGACGCUGAGGCGCGAAAGCGUGGGGAGCGAACAGG